rnacentral:rRNA from 1 species
UAGGGAAUCUUCGGCAAUGGACGAAAGUCUGACCGAGCAACGCCGCGUGAGUGAAGAAGGUUUUCGGAUCGUAAAACUCUGUUGUUAGAGAAGAACAAGGACGUUAGUAACUGAACGUCCCCUGACGGUAUCUAACCAGAAAGCCACGGCUAACUACGUGCCAGCAGCCGCGGUAAUACGUAGGUGGCAAGCGUUGUCCGGAUUUAUUGGGCGUAAAGCGAGGGCAGGCGGUUUCUUAAGUCUGAUGUGAAAGCCCCCGGCUCAACCGGGGAAGGUCAUUGGAAACUGAGAUGCUUGAGUGCAGAAGAGGAGAGUGGAAUUCCAUGUGUAGCGGUGAAAUGCGUAGAUAUAUGGAGGAACACCAGUGGCGAAGGCGGCUCUCUGGUCUGUAACUGACGCUGAGGCUCGAAAGCGAGGGGAGCAAACAGG